rnacentral:rRNA from 1 species
ACAGCGGCGCACGGGUGCGUAACACGUGAGUAAUCUGCCCUGAAGCCCGGAAUAACCUCCCGAAAGGGAAGCUAAUACCGGAUAAGCCCACGGGGUCCCCGGACCCCGAGAGAAAAGGCGGCCUCUGUAUACAAGCUGUCACUUCAGGAUGAGCUCGCGGCCCAUCAGCUAGUUGGCGGGGUAAUGGCCCACCAAGGCUACGACGGGUAGCUGGUCUGAGAGGACGAUCAGCCACACUGGAACUGAGACGCGGUCCAGACUCCUACGGGAGGCAGCAGUGGGGAAUCUUGCGCAAUGGGCGAAAGCCUGACGCAGCAACGCCGCGUGUGUGAUGAAGGUCUUCGGAUCGUAAAGCACUGUCGCGAGGGACG